rnacentral:rRNA from 1 species
UACGGAGGAUGCGAGCGUUAUCCGGAUUUAUUGGGUUUAAAGGGUGCGCAGGCGGCACGGCAAGCCGGCGGUCAAAUCGCGGGGUUCAACCCCGCCCAGCCGUCGGAACUGCCGGGCUAGAGUGGGCGAGAAGUGCGCGGAAUGCGUGGUGUAGCGGUGAAAUGCAUAGAUAUCACGCAGAACUCCGAUUGCGAAGGCAGCGCACCGGCGCCCUACUGACGCUCAGGCACGAAAGCGUGGGUAUCGAACAGG